rnacentral:rRNA from 1 species
GACGAACGCUGGCGGCGUGCUUAACACAUGCAAGUCGAACGAAGAGCGACGGAAGCUUGCUUCUAUCAAUCUUAGUGGCGAACGGGUGAGUAACGCGUAAUCAACCUGCCCUUCAGAGGGGGACAACAGUUGGAAACGACUGCUAAUACCGCAUACGAUCUAACCUCGGCAUCGAGGAUAGAUGAAAGGUGGCCUCUACAUGUAAGCUAUCACUGAAGGAGGGGAUUGCGGCUGAUUAGCUAGUUGGAGGGGUAACGGCCCACCAAGGCGAUGAUCAGUAGCCGGUCUGAGAGGAUGAACGGCCACAUUGGGACUGAGACACGGCCCAGACUCCUACGGGAGGCAGCAGUGGGGAAUCUUCCGCAAUGGACGAAAGUCUGACGGAGCAACGCCGCGUGAGUGAUGACGGCCUUCGGGUUGUAAAGCUCUGUUAAUCGGGACGAAAGGCCUUCUUGCGAAUAGUGAGAAGGAUUGACGGUACCGGAAUAGAAAGCCACGGCUAACUACGUG